rnacentral:rRNA from 1 species
UGGGGAAUUUUGGACAAUGGGCGAAAGCCUGAUCCAGCAAUGCCGCGUGUGUGAAGAAGGCCUUCGGGUUGUAAAGCACUUUUGUCCGGAAAGAAAUCCUCUGGGUUAAUACCUCGGGGGGAUGACGGUACCGGAAGAAUAAGCACCGGCUAACUACGUGCCAGCAGCCGCGGUAAUACGUAGGGUGCAAGCGUUAAUCGGAAUUACUGGGCGUAAAGCGUGCGCAGGCGGUUUUGUAAGACGGAUGUGAAAUCCCCGGGCUUAACCUGGGAACUGCAUUCGUGACUGCAAGGCUAGAGUAUGGCAGAGGGGGGUAGAAUUCCACGUGUAGCAGUGAAAUGCGUAGAGAUGUGGAGGAAUACCGAUGGCGAAGGCAGCCCCCUGGGCCAAUACUGACGCUCAUGCACGAAAGCGUGGGGAGCAAACAGGAUUAGAUACCCUGGUAGUCCACGCCCUAAACGAUGUCAACUAGUUGUUGGGGAUUCAUUUCCUUAGUAACGUAGCUAACGCGUGAAGUUGACCGCCUGGGGAGUACGGUCGCAAGAUUAAAACUUAAA